AGUGCCUGAGGGAGUAAGAGCCCUGUUGUUGUCAGAUAGUGUCUUACUCCCUCAGGCACAUC
rnacentral:pre_miRNA from 1 species